GGGUUGUGAGGUUAAGCGACUAAGCGUACACGGUGGAUGCCCUGGCAGUCAGAGGCGAUGAAGGACGUGCUAAUCUGCGAUAAGCGUCGGUAAGGUGAUAUGAACCGUUAUAACCGGCGAUUUCCGAAUGGGGAAACCCAGUGUGAUUCGUCACACUAUCAUUAACUGAAUCCAUAGGUUAAUGAGGCGAACCGGGGGAACUGAAACAUCUAAGUACCCCGAGGAAAAGAAAUCAACCGAGAUUCCCCCAGUAGCGGCGAGCGAACGGGGAGCAGCCCAGAGCCUGAAUCAGUGUGUGUGUUAGUGGAAGCGUCUGGAAAGGCGCGCGAUACAGGGUGACAGCCCCGUACACAAAAAUGCACAUGCUGUGAGCUCGAUGAGUAGGGCGGGACACGUGGUAUCCUGUCUGAAUAUGGGGGGACCAUCCUCCAAGGCUAAAUACUCCUGACUGACCGAUAGUGAACCAGUACCGUGAGGGAAAGGCGAAAAGAACCCCGGCGAGGGGAGUGAAAAAGAACCUGAAACCGUGUACGUACAAGCAGUGGGAGCACGCUUAGGCGUGUGACUGCGUACCUUUUGUAUAAUGGGUCAGCGACUUAUAUUCUGUAGCAAGGUUAACCGAAUAGGGGAGCCGAAGGGAAACCGAGUCUUAACUGGGCGUUAAGUUGCAGGGUAUAGACCCGAAACCCGGUGAUCUAGCCAUGGGCAGGUUGAAGGUUGGGUAACACUAACUGGAGGACCGAACCGACUAAUGUUGAAAAAUUAGCGGAUGACUUGUGGCUGGGGGUGAAAGGCCAAUCAAACCGGGAGAUAGCUGGUUCUCCCCGAAAGCUAUUUAGGUAGCGCCUCGUGAAUUCAUCUCCGGGGGUAGAGCACUGUUUCGGCAAGGGGGUCAUCCCGACUUACCAACCCGAUGCAAACUGCGAAUACCGGAGAAUGUUAUCACGGGAGACACACGGCGGGUGCUAACGUCCGUCGUGAAGAGGGAAACAACCCAGACCGCCAGCUAAGGUCCCAAAGUCAUGGUUAAGUGGGAAACGAUGUGGGAAGGCCCAGACAGCCAGGAUGUUGGCUUAGAAGCAGCCAUCAUUUAAAGAAAGCGUAAUAGCUCACUGGUCGAGUCGGCCUGCGCGGAAGAUGUAACGGGGCUAAACCAUGCACCGAAGCUGCGGCAGCGACGCUGAUGCGUUGUUGGGUAGGGGAGCGUUCUGUAAGCCUGCGAAGGUGUGCUGUGAGGCAUGCUGGAGGUAUCAGAAGUGCGAAUGCUGACAUAAGUAACGAUAAAGCGGGUGAAAAGCCCGCUCGCCGGAAGACCAAGGGUUCCUGUCCAACGUUAAUCGGGGCAGGGUGAGUCGACCCCUAAGGCGAGGCCGAAAGGCGUAGUCGAUGGGAAACAGGUUAAUAUUCCUGUACUUGGUGUUACUGCGAAGGGGGGACGGAGAAGGCUAUGUUGGCCGGGCGACGGUUGUCCCGGUUUAAGCGUGUAGGCUGGUUUUCCAGGCAAAUCCGGAAAAUCAAGGCUGAGGCGUGAUGACGAGGCACUACGGUGCUGAAGCAACAAAUGCCCUGCUUCCAGGAAAAGCCUCUAAGCAUCAGGUAACAUCAAAUCGUACCCCAAACCGACACAGGUGGUCAGGUAGAGAAUACCAAGGCGCUUGAGAGAACUCGGGUGAAGGAACUAGGCAAAAUGGUGCCGUAACUUCGGGAGAAGGCACGCUGAUAUGUAGGUGAAGUCCCUCGCGGAUGGAGCUGAAAUCAGUCGAAGAUACCAGCUGGCUGCAACUGUUUAUUAAAAACACAGCACUGUGCAAACACGAAAGUGGACGUAUACGGUGUGACGCCUGCCCGGUGCCGGAAGGUUAAUUGAUGGGGUCAGCGCAAGCGAAGCUCUUGAUCGAAGCCCCGGUAAACGGCGGCCGUAACUAUAACGGUCCUAAGGUAGCGAAAUUCCUUGUCGGGUAAGUUCCGACCUGCACGAAUGGCGUAAUGAUGGCCAGGCUGUCUCCACCCGAGACUCAGUGAAAUUGAACUCGCUGUGAAGAUGCAGUGUACCCGCGGCAAGACGGAAAGACCCCGUGAACCUUUACUAUAGCUUGACACUGAACAUUGAGCCUUGAUGUGUAGGAUAGGUGGGAGGCUUUGAAGUGUGGACGCCAGUCUGCAUGGAGCCGACCUUGAAAUACCACCCUUUAAUGUUUGAUGUUCUAACGUUGACCCGUAAUCCGGGUUGCGGACAGUGUCUGGUGGGUAGUUUGACUGGGGCGGUCUCCUCCUAAAGAGUAACGGAGGAGCACGAAGGUUGGCUAAUCCUGGUCGGACAUCAGGAGGUUAGUGCAAUGGCAUAAGCCAGCUUGACUGCGAGCGUGACGGCGCGAGCAGGUGCGAAAGCAGGUCAUAGUGAUCCGGUGGUUCUGAAUGGAAGGGCCAUCGCUCAACGGAUAAAAGGUACUCCGGGGAUAACAGGCUGAUACCGCCCAAGAGUUCAUAUCGACGGCGGUGUUUGGCACCUCGAUGUCGGCUCAUCACAUCCUGGGGCUGAAGUAGGUCCCAAGGGUAUGGCUGUUCGCCAUUUAAAGUGGUACGCGAGCUGGGUUUAGAACGUCGUGAGACAGUUCGGUCCCUAUCUGCCGUGGGCGCUGGAGAACUGAGGGGGGCUGCUCCUAGUACGAGAGGACCGGAGUGGACGCAUCACUGGUGUUCGGGUUGUCAUGCCAAUGGCACUGCCCGGUAGCUAAAUGCGGAAGAGAUAAGUGCUGAAAGCAUCUAAGCACGAAACUUGCCCCGAGAUGAGUUCUCCCUGACUCCUUGAGAGUCCUGAAGGAACGUUGAAGACGACGACGUUGAUAGGCCGGGUGUGUAAGCGCAGCGAUGCGUUGAGCUAACCGGUACUAAUGAACCGUGAGGCUUAACCUUACAACGCCGAAGCUGUU
rnacentral:rRNA from 1 species